UACGUAGGGGGCAAGCGUUGUCCGGAAUCAUUGGGCGUAAAGCGCGUGUAGGCGGCCCGGUAAGUCCGCUGUGAAAGUCGGGGGCUCAACCCUCGAAUGCCGGUGGAUACUGUCGGGCUAGAGUCCGGAAGAGGCGAGUGGAAUUCCUGGUGUAGCGGUGGAAUGCGCAGAUAUCAGGAGGAACACCAACGGCGAAGGCAGCUCGCUGGGACGGUACUGACGCUGAGGCGCGAAAGCGUGGGGAGCGAACAGG
rnacentral:rRNA from 1 species